GACGAACGCUGGCGGCGUGCUUAACACAUGCAAGUCGAACGGAAAGGCCCUGCUUUUGUGGGGUGCUCGAGUGGCGAACGGGUGAGUAACACGUGAGUAACCUGCCCUUGACUUUGGGAUAACUUCAGGAAACUGGGGCUAAUACCGGAUAGGAGCUCCUGCUGCAUGGUGGGGGUUGGAAAGUUUCGGCGGUUGGGGAUGGACUGGCGGCUUAUCAGCUUGUUGGUGGGGUAGUGGCUUACCAAGGCUUUGACGGGUAGCCGGCCUGAGAGGGUGACCGGCGACAUUGGGACUGAGAUACGGCCCAGACUCCUACGGGAGGCAGCAGUGGGGAAUAUUGCACAAUGGGCGGAAGCCUGAUGCAGCAACGCUGCGUGCGGGAUGACGGCCUUCGGGUUGUAAACCGCUUUCGCCUGUGACGAAGCGUGAGUGACGGUAAUGGGUAAAGAAGCACCGGCUAACUACGUG
rnacentral:rRNA from 1 species